AGCGAACGCUGGCGGCAGGCCUAACACAUGCAAGUCGAACGAACCCUUCGGGGUUAGUGGCGGACGGGUGAGUAACACGUGGGAACGUGCCUUUAGGUUCGGAAUAACUCAGGGAAACUUGUGCUAAUACCGAAUGUGCCCUUCGGGGGAAAGAUUUAUCGCCAUUGGAGCGGCCCGCGUUGGAUUAGCUAGUUGGUGGGGUAAUGGCCCACCAAGGCGACGAUCCAUAGCUGGUCUGAGAGGAUGAUCAGCCACACUGGGACUGAGACACGGCCCAGACUCCUACGGGAGGCAGCAGUAGGGAAUCUUGCGCAAUGGGCGAAAGCCUGACGCAGCCAUGCCGCGUGAAUGAUGAAGGUCUUAGGAUUGUAAAAUUCUUUCACCGGGGAAGAUAAUGACGGUACCCGGAGAAGAAGCCCCGGCUAACUUCGUGCCAGCCGCCGCCGUAAAAC
rnacentral:rRNA from 1 species